rnacentral:rRNA from 1 species
CAGUAGCCGCGGUAAUACGGAGGGAGCUAGCGUUGUUCGGAAUUACUGGGCGUAAAGCGCGCGUAGGCGGUUACUCAAGUCAGAGGUGAAAGCCCGGGGCUCAACCCCGGAACUGCCUUUGAAACUAGGUGACUAGAAUCUUGGAGAGGUCAGUGGAAUUCCGAGUGUAGAGGUGAAAUUCGUAGAUAUUCGGAAGAACACCAGUGGCGAAGGCGACUGACUGGACAAGUAUUGACGCUGAGGUGCGAAAGCGUGGGGAGCAAACAGGAUUAGAGACCCCGGUAGUCCCUGUCUCUUAUAC